UUCAUAAGAUGACAUAUAAAAAUAGCCAGCUGUGAAAUAUAAACACGAUCAUUUUAGAGAAUUGUGUUCUGUUUAUCAAUAAAUAAAAAUAACGAGCGAAGCUCGGUGCCCCGAUAUUAUGAUUGACAUGAGGAAUAAAUUUCCAUUACGAUUCAUAGAAUGUGUUUCUUUGUUUGAUGGUUUUGAACUUUCUAUGAGCGUUCAAACUGAAAUUAGACUUUGAACUCGACGAAUGUACUUUUUCGACUUUGACCGCUCAUAAAAAGUUCAAAACCUCAAACAAAGAAACAAAUUAUAUGAAUCUUAUUGGAUAUUUCUUCCUCUUUUCAACCAUAUUCUUAGAAUUGUAUUUUGACUGACUAGUUAUCUAGUUAUUGACGUUUUUCAAAUAUAUCGAAAUAUAAAUUUAUCUCGAAAACUAAUGUCGACAAAAUAAAAUUUUAAUUGACAUUUAUUGUUGUCUAUGGUCUUCGGCAGUUACACCUUUCAUGGGACACUCUGUAUUUUUACUUCAAUUUUCUUACUCGUCACUUACAAACUUUGGCCCGGUUUGUAACUUAUUAAAUCUAAUGAACCAUUAAAUCUAUAACCGUUUCAACUGAUAUCAGAAGGAUUUUAUAUUCAACUAAAUUUGUUUUCCCUAAUCUUUCAAAGUUGUCUAGUACUAUUUCAAUUUUCUCGAAUGCUCAGCAUUCAAAUUAUCAUUACUUAUGUCUGAACUGAUUGCAUUCUGUAUUUUUAAUAAAUCGGGAUUUAUUUGAUUUACAAAGGAAAAUUUGCUUCGUGGUCUAAAAUUUAAAUAAUACCUCUCAUUGAAUAAAUCUAUCACUAAUUGUGUGUGAUUUAUAAAGUACAACUGGAGCUGAUAGGUUUUCAUUUCACUGAUAUGGAAUCAAAAUUUCCAUAUGAAGUUCUCUAUUCUAAUGUUUAUGAACACUUCUUCUUUCAAAAACAUUCAUUAUUAGCUGAAAUAAUAUUAAUCGAUCACUAAUUGUGUGUGAUGUAUAAAAUCACAACCAAGUACAACUGAAGCUGAUAGGUUUUCAUUUCACUGAUAUCGAAUCAAAAUUUCCAUCUGAAGUUCUCUAUUCUAAUGUUUAUGAACACUUCUUCUUUCAAAAACACUCAUUAUUAGCUGACAUAAUAUUUAGAUUGCUCUCUUCAACUCGUUAUUCAGGAUUAGCAAUUAAUAACUGAUCGAAAACCUUUUUUUGAAAUGAUACUCCUACUUGCACCGGAGUCUAAUAAAGCGGUUGAAUGCACGCUACUGUUUCCCCAUUUUAAAAACUACUAGACGAAUGAUUUUAUUCCUUAAAGCUUUGAUUUUUUAUCUUGUUAGAAGAUUUCUGAGACCUUCUUUUAUAAUUUUUAUCAAAUUUAUUUCCCCUCUAUCUUCCUAGCUUUGAAUAAUUCAUUUUUACAUCUCGAUUCAAACUUGGAAUCAAUGUAUUAAAUGUAAUCAUUAUUAUCAGUUUGACACACAAUACCUCUAUUCGAAUUAUCGCUGAAAUUUCCUCUCUUAUCAAAUUCAACUAGUCGUGCUAGUUUAUUUCUACAUUCAUUGGCAUAAUGUCAUAUUUUCUGACAUUUGAAGCAUUUUCUAUAACGUGAAGUUUUCCUAUCAUUUGUAGAAUUUGGAGAUUGGAUUUUCUAUUUCAUAAUAUUACCUUUAAAGUUGUCAUUGAAUUUUCUAUUUCAUAAUAUCACCUUUAAAAUUGUCAUUGUUAGGAUUUGAUCUACUCACCUUAUCCACAUGACCUAAUUUUUGACAAAUAUAACAUCUUAAUAGGACUGUCCCUACGCUUCAAAUGCAUUUCUAUCUGAAAAUGACUCAUGUCGAUCCCCAAACAGAAUAUUCUGAAAUUGAAUGCAUAUUUCGUGAGAUCCCUGAAAUUUCUAGGCUUGAACUGAAAUACUAAUCUCGAUCUUUCCUCGGGGUUCAAACCUGAACAUAUAUUAGUUAGAAUCUCUUCUUCUGACUUGUUCAACUAAUUAAAUUCUAAAUUUUGGUUUGUAUAUUUCAGGACUCAAAUUUUGAUUCAAUGUGAAGCAACAUAACCUAAAUUUUAGACAUACGAGUACUUCUAUCAAAACUUUCGGAAAGGGUACAGUUUUGGGUUAGACCUGGGGCCUAUUUCACAAAGGUACAAGUAUUGUUACCAACCAUGGUUACGAACAAGUACUUGUAGUUACAAGUUUACAAGUACUCAUGUUACACAAAAAUUUAUGAUCCACAAGUUAACAAUUUUACAAGUCUACAAGUACUUCAAUAGUAAACAUAACCUAUUUUCAUGAUAAAUUCCUUUUUUCAUCCUU